rfam:Asian citrus Psyllid, Diaphorina citri - Florida Strain, whole genome shotgun sequence.
GCCUAGUUAGCUUAGUUGGUAGUGCGUCUGCCUUCUAAGCGCUAGGCCGCGGGUUCGAUUCCCGCCCGGGGCG